ensembl:lncRNA
GCUUGCCCUAACUAGGCACCUAGUUAGGAUGUUUCCUCUACUUCUUACUGUAUUGGAAUAUACGUCGCAACUCAGCAACUCAGCAAAGUGUGGGCUACCCUUACCAAGCUGCUGCUCACCAGCAUGAAGGAGAACCAUCAAGUGAGCUCAGGAGAUUGACCAGUUCCUAACGCUGGUCCCCCCUGAAUCCAGACAUCCCUAGGACAUGAGGAGGCUCUGAGAACACAUUUUGUAGAAGGUGUCUUGAUCGGCCCCAACCCAGAAGACAUCCACUAAUUAGUAGAACACUGUGAUCCACUAAUUAGUAGAACACUGUGAUCCACUAAUUAGUAGAACACUGUGAUCCACUAAUUAGUAAACAGUAAACACUGUGAUCCACUAAUUAGUAGAACACUGUGAUCCACUUAUUAGUAAAACACUAUUAUCCACUAAUUAUGAAACACUAUGGAUAGAUUGAAGCAGCCAAAUCAAUGUUGAAGAUUCAGCAACAAGAGGCAUGAGAUAAGAGAUUUGUUAUUUAUUAAUUGAAUCAUGUAUUUACUUGUAAUACAUAUU